UGGUUGAUCCUGCCAGAGGCGACCGCUAUUGGAGUUCGAUUAAGCCAUGCGAGUAGAAAGAAAUUAGAUUCUUUGCAUACUGCUCAGUAACACGUGGAUAACCUGCCCUGUGCUGGAGGAUAAUCUUGGGAAACUGAACAUAAUACUCCAUAGACCACUACGCCCGGAACGGUGAGUGGUUCAAAGCUCUGGCGGCACAGGAGGGGUCUGCGGCGUAUCACGUUGUAGGGGGUGUAAUGGACCCCCUAGCCAUCGACGCGUACGGGUUGUGGGAGCAAUAACCCGGAGACGGAUUCUGAGACACGAAUCCGGACCCUACGGGGUGCAGCAGGCGCGAAAACUUCACACUGCAGGCAACUGUGAUGAGGGAACUCCAAGUGACUGCACAAUGUGUAGCCUUUUCUUGACUGUUAAUAAUUCUUGGAAUAAGGGCUGGGAAAGACCGGUGCCAGCCGCCGCGGUAAUACC
rnacentral:rRNA from 1 species